rnacentral:rRNA from 1 species
UACGUAGGGUGCAAGCGUUGUCCGGAAUUAUUGGGCGUAAAGAGCUCGUAGGCGGUUUGUCGCGUCUGCUGUGAAAACCCGAGGCUCAACCUCGGGCCUGCAGUGGGUACGGGCAGACUAGAGUGCGGUAGGGGAGAUUGGAAUUCCUGGUGUAGCGGUGGAAUGCGCAGAUAUCAGGAGGAACACCAAUGGCGAAGGCAGCUCGCUGGAACGUAACUGACGCUGAGACGCGAAAGCGUGGGGAGCAAACAGG